CCCAGAUGUCUGAGGCCAGGUGUCAUUGCUGCCCUAGGCGUGUGAAGGAACAGAGUCAAGCGGGUAUCCUCCUGGCAGCCUGUUGAGUCGCAUCAAGAUUUCAGGUACCGUGAGGAGGCGCAUAGCCGAAGUUUGGAAACGGCAGCACCGAAGCGGACGUAGAGAACGCGUCGCCGUCCACGUCCGGCUGACGAUGGAUUUUGUCCGGUCGUCUUGCAAAAGCUAAGUGUCGGGGCCAGUAGGUGGGAGAAGGGGAAAAACCUUUACUAUCA